UGGGGAAUAUUGCACAAUGGGGGAAACCCUGAUGCAGCGACGCUGCGUGAACGAAGAAGGUAUUCGUAUCGUAAAGUUCUGUCCUAUGGGAAGAUAAUGACAGUACCAUAGAAGAAAGCUCCGGCUAAAUACGUGCCAGCAGCCGCGGUAAUACGUAUGGGGCGAGCGUUGUCCGGAAUUAUUGGGCGUAAAGGGUACGCAGUCGGUUUAAUAAGUCGAAUGUUAAAGAUCGGGGCUCAACCCCGCAAAGCAUUGGAAACUGAUAAACUUGAGUAGUGGAGAUGAAAGUGGAAUUCCUAGUGUAGUGGUGAAAUACGUAGAUAGUAGGAGGAAUACCAGUAGCGAAGGCGACUUUCUGGACACAAACUGACGCUGAGGUACGAAAGCGUGGGGAGCAAACAGG
rnacentral:rRNA from 1 species